UUAGAUACCCUACUAUGCUGGUAAAAGCCUAAAUUAUUAAUAGAUAUAUUCUUUAAACUUGAAGAAUUUGGCGGUGGUUAAUACUUGUUAGAGGAACCUGUUUUUGAAUCGAUACACCACGUGAGAUCUUACUCAUUAUAUAUAGUUUAUAUACCGUCAUUAUCAGGUGAUUUUUAGAGAAAUUGUAAUCAUUAAGGUUUGUAUAAAGGACAAGGUAAAUUAGAUCAAGGUGUAGCUGAUGAAUGAGUUAAAAUGGGUUACAAUGAAAUUUUAUUCAUUACGGAGUAGUUAAAGUGAAAUGUACUAUGAAGGAGGAUUUAAUUGUAAUAAGAGUUUAACAAGCUUGAAAGAUAUAAGCCCUAAGCCAUGUACAUAUCGCCCG
rnacentral:rRNA from 1 species